rnacentral:rRNA from 1 species
CCUACGGGCGGCUGCAGUGGGGAAUAUUGGACAAUGGGGGGAACCCUGAUCCAGCCAUGCCGCGUGUGUGAAGAAGGCCCUCGGGUUGUAAAGCACUUUCAGUGAGGAAGAACGCCUGGUGGUUAAUACCCAUCAGGAAAGACAUCACUCACAGAAGAAGCACCGGCUAACUCCGUGCCAGCAGCCGCGGUAAUACGGAGGGUGCGAGCGUUAAUCGGAAUUACUGGGCGUAAAGCGCGCGUAGGUGGCUUGAUAAGCCGGUUGUGAAAGCCCCGGGCUCAACCUGGGAACGGCAUCCGGAACUGGCAAGCUAGAGGGCAGGAGAGGAAGGUAGAAUUCCCGGGGGAGCGGUGAAAUGCGUAGAGAUCGGGAGGAAUACCAGUGGCGAAGGCGGCCUUCUGGACCGACCAUGACCAUGAGGUGCGAAAGCGUGGGGAGCAAACCGGAUUAGAUACCCGGGUAGUC